GGGGGUGUACUGGUUUCGACGGGGUGUGCGAAGUUGAAGCUGCAUGCCGAGCUGGGAGAUGCUCGUAAAUAUCCUCCGGUUUGUUAUAGUUGCAAACGACGAAAACUACGCUCUGGCUGCUUAAUCCAGCCAGUGCCCACUGGGUGCGAUGCCCGUAUCGCCCCAGUUGGGUAUCGGUUUAAACGGGAUCGCUUCUGUCACGGGCCUGGGUGGCAGAAGUUAAAUCGAACAGGCUGGGUCUGCCGUGAUCCCUGUCAGUCGGGUAGCGGCAGACGAGAAUAAUAGACUGACUAAGCAUGUAGACGCUUGAAUGGAGGCACCCCGGACGGCGGUUCGACUCCGACCACCUCCACCA
rnacentral:tmRNA from 1 species